CCUACGGGUGGCUGCAGUGGGGAAUUUUGGACAAUGGGGGCAACCCUGAUCCAGCCAUGCCGCGUGCGGGAAGAAGGCCUUCGGGUUGUAAACCGCUUUUAGUCGGGAAGAAAAGGCGUCCACUAACACUGGGCGUUCUUGACGGUACCGGCGGAAUAAGCACCGGCUAACUACGUGCCAGCAGCCGCGGUAAUACGUAGGGUGCGAGCGUUGAUCGGAAUUACUGGGGGUAAAGCGUGCGCAGGCGGUUGAAAGCCCCGGGCUCAACCUGGGAAUGGCCGUGGAAACUGGCGGGCUGGAGUGCGGCAGAGGGGGGUGGAAUUCCGCGUGUAGCAGUGAAAUGCGUAGAGAUGCGGAGGAACACCGAUGGCGAAGGCAGCCCCCUGGGCCGACACUGACGCUCAGGCACGAAAGCGUGGGGAGCAAACAGGAUUAGAUACCCCAGUAGUC
rnacentral:rRNA from 1 species